CCUACGGGGGGCUGCAGUGGGGAAUAUUGGACAAUGGGCGCAAGCCUGAUCCAGCCAUGCCGCGUGAGUGAUGAAGGCCUUCGGGUUGUAAAGCUCUUUCGGCGGGGACGAUAAUGACGGUACCCGCAGAAGAAGCCCCGGCUAACUUCGUGCCAGCAGCCGCGGUAAUACGAAGGGGGCUAGCGUUGUUCGGAAUUACUGGGCGUAAAGCGCGCGUAGGCGGUUCUCCAAGUCAGUGGUGAAAGCCCGGAGCUCAACUCCGGAACUGCCAUUGAAACUGUUGAACUUGAGGACGAGAGAGGUGAGUGGAAUUCCCAGUGUAGAGGUGAAAUUCGUAGAUAUUGGGAAGAACACCAGUGGCGAAGGCGGCUCACUGGCUCGUUUCUGACGCUCAGGCGCGAUAGCGUGGGGAUCAAACAGGAUUAGAUACCCGUGUAGUC
rnacentral:rRNA from 1 species